UGCGACACGUUUGGCACAACAGCUGGUCCACCUGAAACCUUCAGCACAGAAAACUUCCUUUGCUCCCACACUGAUACACUAUCUAACGAAGCGUUACCCUCUGUUAGUCCGUCAGACUCAGCUGAGCAAGAAAGAAAGCAGACAAUCUGGAGGGAAGAACAAACAGACAGAUGGAGAUUAAAACCUCUGUCCGUCCCGAACUGCAUCACCCUUCGAUGCAAGGAUCAGCGUGUUCAGAUCAUGGAUGGAAAGCUUUUAAGGCAAGAAGUCACCCAGAAAUGUUUUUUCACUCCAGGCAUCCAGUCCCAAUCAUCAUCGUUCUGAUGAUGCCACACACGUAGCGAGUCCACAACGUCUUAAAAUUGUUUCUGUAAAGUGCGGUGGUCCAGUUAAUGGGAAUGUUCUGUUGUAGAUCCUCACUGUUCUUAGGAAGGAGAAAUGUCAGUUUGUC